CCUUCAUUGCUGGUGGGAGGGGCAAAUGGGACAGCUGCUUUGGAAAACAGUUUGGUAGUCCCUCAAAAUGUCAGGCGUAGAGGGGACAUCUGACCCAGCAACUCCACUCCUGCAUACGUGCCCAAGAGAAAUGAAGGCACGUAUUUGCGCAGAAACUCCUGCGUGAACGUUCACAGCCAAAAAGCGGAGACAACCCGAACGCCCAUCAGAUGGAGGAUGGAUAGGCGGGCUGCGGCGUGGCCGUGCCCGGGUUACCGUUCAGCCACGGCAGAGAGGAAGCGCCGACACGCUACGACACGGGCGGGCCCGGACGUCAUGCCGGCUGCGGGGAGCCAGGCGCAGAAGACCACAGAUUAUAGCAGUGAUGCAUGCUUGCUGGAGAAAAUUUGGAGAGGACAGAAAAUAAUAAAGGAGGAGGUAAAAAUCACCUGCAGCUCCAGAAGAGCCGUGGGGGACACCGCGGGGAGAGGAAGCCGCCUCCCCUCUCUCGCUCCGGGCCGGAGAAAAGCCGGCAGGAGGACAAGCCCUUCGGAGCAGGGGAGCAGCAAGCGAGGCGUGCUCGUGGCUAGCCUUUUAUUUCAACCUCAGACGGCGUAAAUGUACGGUGGGUCGACCCGGACCCUCGAACAACGCGGGAUUUGGGGGCGCUGGCCCCUGUGCGUCAAAACUCCACGCGUGGCUUUUGAUUCCCCAGAAAUGUAACUGCUCAAGCCGACUGUUGACGGGAAACCUUACUGACAACACUAAGCGUGCAUUAACGUGUAUGUUGCGUGUCACAUGUAUUAUACGCUAUUCCAGGGGCGGGGAACCUACAGCUUCCAGGCACAUGUGGCCCUCCAGACCCCCAAGUGUGGCCCCUCUUGGCAGAACCCAGACUUCACAGAACAGACCCCUUCGCUGUCCCGUAGGGCCUGGAUUCGGUCAAAGGCCGCCCUCCACGGUCGGAACGACCCUCUCGCGCGAAGGUGAGCCGCGGAGCAGCAACGUCAGGAAGAGAAUCACGGGGGAGAGGAAAUGCGUUUCCUACCGGGCAGGCGGAAGCGGAUCCUCACACGGGCCUUCAUCCUGGUCGUCUUUGGGCCGAGUAGGCCGAGGGGGAGCGGAGGGCAGGUCUGGCCAUCUCGGGGGUGGCAGAGGCGGAAGACACAACCUAAAUCCAGGGUUUUUCUAGAAUUUUCUAGAAAAUUCAGGAAUUUUCUAGAAUCAUAUGAACGUUCGCCGUAAUUGUUUCCAGCUGCCCCGCCCGUUACUAAGUUGAAACUUUUAUUUUAAGCAACUUAUCAGUAUCGAUAUUUCCUGAAGCGUUAAAGCUUCGUUUUCGUGGAAUUAGUAACUGCCUUUUUGCACCUGGACCUCGUCGGUUUAUGUACCACUUAAUGAAAUCAGUUAAGUUAUGUAUAGGCAGCCCCCUGGGUCUGUGGGUGUCUGUGGGCUCUGCAUUCACAGAUUCAACCAAGCUCCAAUCAGAAAGAUUUGAGGGGAAAAACAAAAAUAACAAUGCAACAAUAAAAAGGAGCACACAGGAAAAA